CGACAAUGAUGAAAAACAUGAGAAAAAACACCAUCUACCGGGACCGAUUGGUUCAUUCCAUGUGCCAUGCUGUCAAAUCUGCAAUUCCGAUGUCC